rnacentral:rRNA from 1 species
AUGGUGCGAUCUAUGAUGUCUCUUACCGAUCUACCGUUCUCAUUUUGGGGCUAUGCUUUAGAGACUACCGCAUUCACUUUAAAUAGGGCUCCGUCGAAAUCCGUUGAGACGACACCGUAUGAAUUAUGGUUUGGGAAGAAACCUAAGCUGUCGUUUCUAAAAGUUUGGGGAUGCGAUGCUUAUGUCAAGAAACUUCAACCUGAAAAGCUCGAACCCAAGUCGGAAAAAUGCGUCUUCAUAGGAUACCCUAAGGAAACCAUUGGGUAUACCUUCUACCUUAGAUCCGAAGGCAAGAUCUUUGUUGCCAAGAACGGGUCCUUUCUGGAGAAAGAGUUUCUCUCGAAAGAAGUAAGUGGGAGGAAAGUGGAACUUGAUGAAGUACUACCUCUUGAACCGGAAAGUAGCGCAGCUCAGGAAGAUGUUCCUGUGGUGCCUGCACCAACUAGAGAGGAAGUUAAUGAUCAUGAUGAUCAAGGUACUUCGGAUCAAGCUCCUACUGAACUUCGUAGGUCCACAAGGACACGUUCCGCGCCAGAGUGGUACGGCAACCCUGUCUUGGAAAUCAUGUUGUUAGACAACGGUGAACCUUCGAACUAUGAAGAAGCAAUGGCGGGCCCAGAUUCCGACAAAUGGCUUGAAGCCAUGCAAUCCGAGAUAGGAUCCAUGUAUGAAAACAAACUGUGGACUUUGACAGACUUGCCCGAUGAUCGGCGAGCGAUAGAAAACAAAUGGAUCUUUAAGAAGACAGACGCGGAUGGUAAUGUUACCAUCUAUAAAGCUCGACUUGUCGCUAAGGGUUAUCGACAAGUUCAAGGGGUUGACUACGAUGAGACUUUCUCACCCGUAGCGAAGCUGAAGUCCGUCCGAAUCAUGUUAGCAAUUGUCGCAUACUAUGAUUAUGAGAUAUGGCAAAUGGACGUCAAAACGGCAUUCCUUAACGGCUUUCUUAAGGAAGAAUUGUAUAUGAUGCAGCCGGAAGCUUUUGUCGAUCCUAAGAAUGCUAACAAGGUAUGCAAGCUCCAGCGCUCCAUCUAUGGGCUGGUGCAAGCAUCUCGGAGUUGGAACAUUCGAUUUGAUGAGAUGAUCAAAGCGUUUGGGUUUACACAGACUUAUGGAGAAGCCUGUGUUUACAAGAAAGUGAGUGGGAGCUCUGUAGCAUUUCUCAUAUUAUAUGUGGAUGACAUACUGUUGAUGGGAAAUGAUAUAGAAUUCUUGGGAAGCAUAAAGGCCUACUUGAACAAUUGUUUUUCAAUGAAGGACGUUGGAGAAGCUGCUUAUAUAUUAGGCAUCAAGAUCUAUAGAGAUAGAUCAAGACGCCUCAUUGGUCUUUCACAAAGUACG